GUCCACGCCCUAAACGAUGGAUACUCGACAUCAGCGAUACACUGUUGGUGUCUGAGCGAAAGCAUUAAGUAUCCCACCUGGGAAGUACGACCUCAAGGUUGAAACUCAAAGGAAUUUGCGGUGGUCCGCACAAGCGGUGGAGCAUGUGGUUUAAUUCGAUGAUACGCGAGGAACCUUACCUGGGCUAGAAUGCAUUUUGACCGCAGGUGAAAGCUUGCUUUGUAGCAAUACACAAUUUGUAAGGUGCUGCAUGGCUGUCGU
rnacentral:rRNA from 1 species